GACGAACCGUGCGAACGUUAUUCGGAAUCACUGGGCUUAAAGGGCGCGUAGGCGGGCUCGCCAGUCAGGGGUGAAAGCCCACGGCUCAACCGUGGAAGUGCCUUUGAUACUGCGAGUCUCGAGGGAGGUAGGGGCGUGCGGAACUUCCGGUGGAGCGGUGAAAUGCGUAGAUAUCGGAAGGAACAUCGGUGGCGAAAGCGGCGCGCUGGACCUCUUCUGACGCUGAGGCGCGAAAGCCAGGGGAGCAAACGGG
rnacentral:rRNA from 1 species